rnacentral:rRNA from 1 species
UACGUAGGGCGCAAGCGUUGUCCGGAAUUAUUGGGCGUAAAGAGCUCGUAGGCGGUCUGUCGCGUCCGUUGUGAAAUCCCCGAGGCUCAACCUCGGGUCUGCAGUCGAUACGAGCAAACUAGAGUGUUGCAGGGGAGACUGGAAUUCCUGGUGUAGCGGUGAAAUGCGCAGAUAUCAGGAGGAACACCGGUGGCGAAGGCGGGUCUCUGGGCAACAACUGACGCUGAGGAGCGAAAGCGUGGGGAGCGAACAGG